CUACGGGAGGCAGCAGUGGGGAAUAUUGCACAAUGGGCGCAAGCCUGAUGCAGCCAUGCCGCGUGUGUGAAGAAGGCCUUCGGGUUGUAAAGCACUUUCAGCGAGGAGGAAGGUGGUGAGCUUAAUACGCUCAUCAAUUGACGUUACUCGCAGAAGAAGCACCGGCUAACUCCGUGCCAGCAGCCGCGGUAAU
rnacentral:rRNA from 1 species